GACGGAGGGUGCUAGCGUUGUUCGGAAUCACUGGGCGUAAAGGGCGCGUAGGCGGUCAUUCAAGUCGAGUGUGAAAGCCCGGGGCUCAACCUCGGAACUGCAUUCGAUACUGGAUGGCUUGAGGCCGGAAGAGGAGAGUGGAAUACCCAGUGUAGAGGUGAAAUUCGUAGAGAUUGGGUGGAACACCAGUGGCGAAAGCGGCUCUCUGGUCCGGUCCUGACGAUGAGGCGCGAAAGAGUGGGUAGCAAACAGG
rnacentral:rRNA from 1 species